UACGAAGGGGGCUAGCGUUGUUCGGAAUUACUGGGCGUAAAGCGCACGUAGGCGGCUUUGUAAGUUAGAGGUGAAAGCCCGGGGCUCAACUCCGGAAUUGCCUUUAAGACUGCAUCGCUAGAAUUGUGGAGAGGUAAGUGGAAUUCCGAGUGUAGAGGUGAAAUUCGUAGAUAUUCGGAAGAACACCAGUGGCGAAGGCGACUUACUGGACACAUAUUGACGCUGAGGUGCGAAAGCGUGGGGGAGCAAACAGG
rnacentral:rRNA from 1 species